AACGAACGCUGGCGGCAGGCUUAACACAUGCAAGUCGAACGCCCCGCAAGGGGAGUGGCAGACGGGUGAGUAACGCGUGGAAACAUACCCUUUCCUGCGGAAUAGCUCUGGGAAACUGGAAUUAACACCGCAUACGCCCUACGGGGGAAAGAUUUAUCGGGGAAGGAUUGGCCCGCGUUGGAUUAGCUAGUUGGUGGGGUAAAGGCCUACCAAGGCGACGAUCCAUAGCUGGUCUGAGAGGACGAUCAGCCACAUUGGGACUGAGACACGGCCCAAACUCCUACGGGAGGCAGCAGUGGGGAAUAUUGGACAAUGGGCGCAAGCCUGAUCCAGCCAUACCGCGUGAGUGAUGAAGGCCUUAGGGUUGUAAAGCUCUUUCACCGAUGAAGAUAAUGACGGUAGUCGGAGAAGAAGCCCCGGCUAACUUCGUGCCAGCAGCCGCAGUAAAAC
rnacentral:rRNA from 1 species